UGGGGUGGAGAGAAAAGGGUAGGAAGAAAUGGAUUUGGUGGGGGUGAAGAAAGGAGGGAGGGAAAUAAGGCAACCAUUAGUUGCCAUGGAUAAAGGCUUGGUUAAGGGUUUGAUAACAAAAGACAUUGGUGGUAACGAGGGAGGAAUUAGUUUAUGAGGGAGAAGAGAGGAUAAGGUGGAGUCGCGACGAGAGGUUUUGUAGCCGGCAGAUCUACGCUGUACUGUAGUCCUUUCUUU
rnacentral:lncRNA from 1 species